rnacentral:rRNA from 1 species
AUUGAACGCUGGCGGCAUGCCUUACACAUGCAAGUCGAACGGUAACAGGUCUUCGGAUGCUGACGAGUGGCGAACGGGUGAGUAAUGCAUCGGAACGUGCCCAGUAGUGGGGGAUAGCCCGGCGAAAGCCGGAUUAAUACCGCAUACGACCUGAGGGUAGAAGGGGGGGAUCGCAAGACCUCUCGCUAUUGGAGCGGCCGAUGUCAGAUUAGAUAGUUGGUGGGGUAAAGGCCUACCAAGGCAACGAUCUGUAGUUGGUCUGAGAGGACGACCAGCCACACUGGGACUGAGACACGGCCCAGACUCCUACGGGAGGCAGCAGUGGGGAAUUUUGGACAAUGGGCGCAAGCCUGAUCCAGCAAUGCCGCGUGCAGGAAGAAGGCCUUCGGGUUGUAAACUGCUUUUGUCAGGGAAGAAAUCUUCUGGGUUAAUACCUCGGGAGGAUGACGGUACCUGAAGAAUAAGCACCGGCUAACUACGUGCCAGCAGCCGCAGUAA